GUGGGUAUAGCUCAGUUGGUUAGCGCGCCAGGUUGUGGCCCUGGAGGUCGCCGGUUCGAGUCCGGUUACUCACCCCA
rnacentral:tRNA from 1 species